AGCGCGCCCCGACCUGAGUGGAGCUCUUUUUUUGUAGCUGGAGAAGUGAGGGCAAAAAAAAGCGGGAACGGAGGGCGGAAAUCGGC
rnacentral:sRNA from 1 species